rnacentral:rRNA from 1 species
UACGAAGGGGGCUAGCGUUACUCGGAAUUACUGGGCGUAAAGGGCGCGUAGGCGGCGUUCCAAGUUAGGCGUGAAAGUCCUGGGCUCAACCUGGGAACUGCGCUUAAGACUGGAGUGCUAGAGGAUGGAAGAGGGUUGUGGAAUUCCCAGUGUAGAGGUGAAAUUCGUAGAUAUUGGGAAGAACACCGGUGGCGAAGGCGGCAACCUGGUCCAUUUCUGACGCUGAGGCGCGAUAGCGUGGGGAGCAAACAGG